rnacentral:rRNA from 1 species
AGCACCGCCGCGGUAAUACAGAGGGUGCGAGCGUUAAUCGGAUUUACUGGGCGUAAAGCGUGCGUAGGCGGCUUUUUAAGUCGGAUGUGAAAUCCCUGAGCUUAACUUAGGAAUUGCAUUCGAUACUGGGAAGCUAGAGUAUGGGAGAGGAUGGUAGAAUUCCAGGUGUAGCGGUGAAAUGCGUAGAGAUCUGGAGGAAUACCGAUGGCGAAGGCAGCCAUCUGGCCUAAUACUGACGCUGAGGUACGAAAGCAUGGGGAGCAAACAGGAUUAGAGACCCCAGUAGUCCCUGUCUCUUAUACA